rnacentral:rRNA from 1 species
UCCUACUUCCAUGGCCACCGCCCUGCUGUCUUUAGUUACUAACGCCUUUUCUGGUUUCCCAUGAGCGUCGCUUUGGCACUUUAACUCCGCUUUCGGUUCAUCCCGCAUCGCCAGUUCUGCUUACCAAAAAUGGCCCACUUGGGACCCGCUAUCUGACCGCCGCUUCGACCGCAUCAGCGUAAGCGGGCGGUGCGCACUCAUUAAAAGUUUGAGAAUAGGUUGAGGCCGUUUCGGCCCCAAUACCUCUAAUCAUUCGCUUUACCACAUGCGACUACCUGGUGUCGGUCGGGUCCCAGCUAUCCUGAGGGAAACUUCGGGAGGAACCAGCUACUAGAUGGUUCGAUUGGUCUUUCGCCCCUAUACGCGACUCAGACGAUCGAUUUGCACGUCAGAAUCGGUAGCGAACUUGCAUCAGGGUUUCCCCUAACUUGAUUCUUGUCACGCAUAGUUCACACAUCUUUCGGGUACCAGCACAUAGACUCGGAGUACGGCUCCCCUCGCGCCCCCGGAGGGGCGCGAGGACGAGACCGUCCCGAGGCUGCGCGGCCAGCCGCGAGCGGCUUGCGGCCGAUCGCCUCUUAGGCGCGCGCCAUGGGCGCGGGCGCCCGACGCGCGCGCCGACCGGAUCGCUCCGGCCGGCACGCGCCUUCACGGCGCUCGCGGGUUUGCGGUCCCGCGAGCUCGCCUAUCUGCUAGACUCCUUAGUCC